CGCGGGAAUUCGAUUUUCCGGUUGAUCCUGCCGGAGGUCACUGCUAUUGGAGUUCGAUUAAGCCAUGCGAGUCGAGAGGGUUCGGCCCUCGGCAGACCGCUCAGUAACACGUGGAUAAUCUGCCCUUGGGUGGGGGAUAAUCUCGAGAAAUUGAGCAUAAUACCCCAUAGGUCUAGUGUGCUGGAAUGCUUCUAGACUCAAAACUUCGGUGCCCAAGGAUGAGUCUGCGGCCUAUCAGGCUGUAGUGAGUAUAAAGGACUCACUAACCGACGACGGGUACGGGCCUUGAGAGAGGUUGCCCGGAGAUGGACUCUGAGACACGAGUCCAGGCCCUACGGGGCGCAGCAGGCGCGAAAACUUCACAAUGCGGGAAACCGUGAUGAGGGAACUCCAAGUGCUAGCAAUUUUUUGUUAGCUGUUUACAUGCCUAAAAAGCAUGUAGAGUAAGAGCUGGGUAAGACUGGUGCCAGCCGCCGCGGUAAUACCAGCAGCUCAAGUGGUGAUCGUUAUUAUUGGGCCUAAAGCGUCCGUAGCCGGCCUGGUAAACUCUUGGGUAAAUCGGGCAGCUUAACUGUCCGAAUUCUGAGGAGACUGCCAGGCUUGGGACCGGGAGAGGCCAGAGGUACUCGUAGGGUAGGGGUGAAAUCCUGUAAUCCUAUGGGGACCACCAGUGGCGAAGGCGUCUGGUCAGAACGGGUCCGACGGUAAGGGACGAAGCCCUGGGGCACAAACCGGAUUAGAUACCCGGGUAGUCCAGGGUGUAAACGCUGCAGGUUUGGUGUUGGGGGUCCUACGAGGGC
rnacentral:rRNA from 1 species